UCUUAUCGCCGCCGGCCCCGGCUUCCUUCGGGAGUUUCUUGCCGGCUUUUGGUUUCUUCUCCGCCGGAGCUUUCUCGGCUUUUGAUUUCUCCUCUACUGGUUUCUCGGCGGCUGGUUUCUUCUCCGCGGGCUUCUUCUCUGCUCUCGGCGCCAUUGUUUUGACUUUUGUUUUACUUUUCUGGGUGAAGAAGAAGAAGCACAGAUCUGAGUGAUUUUGAUAUCUAAUUUGAUGAAGACGAGUUUUGAUUUUAUAGUAGUUAGAAUAAUUGAUAUGAUUGGUUAUUAGAUGUUGACGAGGAUCGAUGAGAUGGGAGAUCGCAACCGUUGAAAUUGUUUUUAAUCGACGGUUUAUAAACUUAUGAAGCGGGAUCGAUGACGUGUCAAUAUUGGUUUAUGUUUUAGCGCGGUGUUAAAAUCUCCGUUCCCGCUCCACUGUAUUGUAAAUGGGCUUUUAUUGGGCUUAAAAUUUUAAUAUCAGCCUGAUCCAAAGCAGAUCUGAUUAAUGUGGUCUAUACAAUUAUGAAAAAACUAACUAAACAUAUCUGUGAAGAAACAGAGUAUAGAAUAUAUAUACUAGUAGGCUUGCACUAACAGUUUAACACAAUAUAUUUUGCUGUAAAACUGAACCUGAUUACAACUUACAAGCUGAUUUAAAAUGAAUUUGUUGACUAAUAAUAUGAGACAGCUAAAAUAUAAAGAAUUUGUUGUAUUUGCAUAAACAAGAAGUAAAAAAAUUGUGCUUGGCUAUAUUGAGCAAUAUGUGUUAAUACUCCAGUUUAUGGUUCAAAUUAUCUUCAGUGGAGAGUAGUAAAAUCUAGAAACUAGCUACAUUAGGCUACUAUAUAUGCAUGAUGUAUGACUAUUGACUAGAACAUAUAUAUUUAAUCAUGGGAACAAUAUAUAAUCCACAACAUUGUAUAUCAAUAAUUUAGUUUUUUGGUGUGUUUUAGCAUGGCAUUAAAAGUUAAUCCAAAUCUUUUUUUCAGGUAUUUUAAAUGGAAUGUUUUUCACAUAAAUGAAAAACUCUAUCUACCUUUUCACAUAAGUGAAAACUGAAAACACAAUCAACAGCCGCAAAACAUCGAAAGGAAAAAAUCUUAUAAACAACCAUAGCAUGACCAUCACACCCAAAAAAUUUAACAUAAACAUAUCUAUAUCGAUUCAAAUAUCUUUAGUUUGAAAAAAUGCGAAUUGGAAAAAGAAAAAUCAAACCUUGUUAAUUGCAAACACAAUCAUAGUAACUGCAAACGAGACUCUUCGCUAAGCCCUAAAUUCAAAUUUUCAUCUCCAUAUCCAUUUUCUACAUUGAUGCUAGCUAGAUACGCUUUUACGGGCAGUAAAGAAAGAUCAUUGUAAUAAUCAGAGCUACAAAGGCUAUCAUAACUGAUAGACAUAAAUAAAUCCCCAUAAUCCAAACAUGGUGGUCACCAAGAACACAAAAGAUAAGAAACCAAAUAACAUAACCAUCUCUUGACAAACCUUAGAGUAUGAACCAAACAUAAAGGCAGAUAUAAAGCCGCCAUGACAUAAAUACAUGCCAACAUGCAUGCUAAAUUACCCAUCAUAACAAGAAACAUUAAAAACAAUUGUUCAUGAAAAAUUUCCGCAAAUUUCUGAAAAUGAGUUUCUUCGGUAUGAGUUUGGAAGUACAUCCCGAUAGCUUCAUCGUUUUAAGAGGGUAGAUUAGGAGGUUUUGGAGAUGAAUGAAUAAGAUGUUUGUCGAGAAAUCAGAAAUCGGGAAAGUGAUGUAGUGUUACCUUAUAUCGGACUUUUAAAUGAUUUAAUAACUUUGUUGUUUGUCUUUUGAGAUGAUAUAAUCUUAAUGAGAUUAGCUUCUAAUAAAUCUUAUCAUCUACGAUGAUGUAUAACUAUAACAUGAGUGGUUUGCUUCAUUUUAAUUUAGUUUUGGUAUUGAUUAUUAAUGCUGUGACUUUUUCUCAUUUUAUCUGGUAUUCGAUCAUCAAAUUAACAAAUAUGAAAUAGAAAUCAAACUUAGUUAAUUGCAAGUAUAUAUAUCACUAAUUAUAAAUCCUGCCCGAAACUAAAACGAUCGACCUCUAGUUACAUCAACACCAUAAUCCAAAUCUCCAUCAAACCCCUGCUUCUUCUUCUUCAUCUAAGCUUGAUGUGUUUUUACUCUCUAGCAAGAUUGUUGGAUAGUUCUAAGUUAUUUGAGGAGAAAGUAAUCUCUUUCUAGAAGAUGCUAGAAGAGAUAGAAAAUAGAAAAAUACAAAUAAUGUCAAGUUAGUUAAGAUUUAUAAGUUUUUCUUUUUAUAAUAGAAUUUGCUAAAUUUAUAUAAAUAAGAGGCUAUGGAAAGUUGUUCUCUAAGACCUAAGAGAUUAGAAUAAGAGGUUUAGGAGAGUUUUUCCAUAAGACCUAAAGAGAGAGAGAGAGAGAGAGAGAGAGAGAUUUAGUUUUGAGUAGUUUCUAAAUCAAUAAAGAAAAUGUGUUCUUUAAUCUAUUUUUGCUCUAGUUUAGUCGAACAUGUGGCUGAAUUACUUUCUGAAUCAUUUAGCGACUAAGUCAGGAUAAGGCGAUCUUGAUUUGAAAGACUUAAAAGAGGGAUCAUAACCAAAACACAAACAAAUCCCAAGAAGAACCCGUACAUGUUCAUCACAAAGAAGACCAAAGUCAAGAAACCAUAAAACAUUUACAUCUCUUCGCAGAUAAUGUGUGGUGAACUAUUAGCUCUCAUGACUCUGUAGUAAUAAAUAUAGAUGAUGUAAGACAUGAAAUACGUGUAGGAGCCAUCACAGUAGCUAAUGCUUCCAUUAUAUAACGGAAUCUUAGAUCAGAUAUCUCAACGGUAUUGUUGACGCACACUAACAUUUAGUUCUCAUAGAUUAAAACAUAUCAAGACAUACAAUAAUACCAAAUACUGUAGAAUAAAUUAAAUUUAAGGUGUUAAAAGUUUUCAUAAUAGUCAAAGGAAACAUAUUACUCGAGAAAACAAGUUUAUUCAAGUCUCUUGCAAGGGUUUUAUUUCUUAGUUGAUGCGGCGUCUGAUAGCAUCAAGACUUAUAUCGGUUAGAUCAGUUGCGUGAAACUCCACUUGAAUUCCAUCUAGUUCUCUCUUGAACCUAUCCUUAGUGCUCGAGUAAAUCAUCUUCUUUCUCAUCUUGGCAGUGGAUGGAGACCUUAUAGCACAAAAACAAACACAUUGAUGAUAAUAAAAGCAACAAAUCACGGAAAUGAGUUAACAAAAAGAAUAGAGUAAAUUAUUUUACCACGCGAUGAAGCAAAUCUUUCUCUCCCCUGGGACGAAUUCGAUAUCCAAAAUGGCAUAUCGGCAUUCAUCAGCUGGAAGACUGUUUGCAAACUCCUCAUAUGAUUGUUCACGUUCGCCAUGCACUACAAAAAAGGGCCAUUUUAUAUCAUUUAUUUUGAAUAUUUGUAUUACUUAUAAUUGAUGUAAAAGAAUUUUACAUCACUUAAAUAAAUGACUUAUAUAUUGUUGAUGCAAAUAAUUGACAUCAGUUAAUUAAUGACCGAUGUUAAGAUAUAAAAUAUUUACAUCAAUUAUUCUAACUGAUAUGAAUAUGUGUCAAUUGAAAAAAAAUGAUGUUAAAUUUUACAUCUAUUUAUUUAAGUGAUGUUAGUAUUAGUGUCAAUUAAGAGAAUUGAUUUCAAUUAUUUACAUCACUUAAUAGUAAUUGAUGUUAAUAUUUGUGUUAAAUAUUUUUCAAUAAACGAUGGUUAAAAGAAACUACAAAAUUUAUAACAGAAUUAUUAUCUUAAAUAUUUUCGUUUUGUUUUUAAAUAAUUUUAUAUAGCAAAAUCGUUUUCAAUAUCUACUAAAUCUUUUCUAUUUUUUUUACAAAUAAUUAUACCAGAACGUCAAUUACAAAAGACAAAAACAUGAAUUUAACGCAGUUAAUAAAUUCAUUAGAGAUUUUACACAUACAAAAAAAAAACAAAAAAAAAGUGAUAUGAACUUAAUUAAUUCAAGAUCUAGGUAUGAUUUCUUCAAGAACACACAUCUUGUUUCUUGUCCAAGCUUUUUCCUUUCCAUUGUUUUGGUGACAUUGUUUCUUCACUGUGGAGAUUUUCUGAGUAUGAAAACCAAUAAAUAGAAAAUCAGAGUCAUGGGUGAGAAAAUGAAAAAUACAAAAUAAUAAAAAUAAGAACAGAAAAACAAUUCUUCGUCGUCUUGGAAAGGUUUAGAAGAUGAACAUAUAAGGAUCAACAUGAUUUUGUGUUGGAGAAGUACAUGUAUAACUCAUAUUCAUCGGAGUUGUAUGAUUGACAUCCUUUUAAGAAUUCUGUGAAAAUUGAUGUUUCUGGAGAAUUUUUAAGGAAGAGUUUUAUGGAACUUCUGAUUUUAUAUACAAUAAUUUUGGGAAUACUACAAGUUUUAUUUGAGUAGAUACAGAGAGAUCGUGGGUUGGUUGGGGUAGUGGAAAUGAAUUUUCGAUUUUUAACAAAACAGUUUUUUAUACAUAAUCGAAAAACAAUUAAAAAUGAGAAUUUAGAGAAUAAGAAAAGAAAAAACAGAUUUUUAGCAAUUUAAAAUAUAGAACACAAUCUUGAUUCCAAAACAAUCUAUAUAUACAUUUUUGCAGCCAUUUUAGCAAAUAAAUCAUGUACUUGGACUUAUUUACGAUCUAAUGUCAUUAGCAUUAAAAAAAUUUCCAAAAUAAUUAAUUUUACUUUAAAUUUUUGAUUUAAAUAGUCAAUCACAUUAUCAAUCAAAUUUAAUCCCAACAAACUUCAAAUCAAUCCCUUAAAAUUAGCAUAGACAUUUGUUAACAAUAUUUUAAAACAAAUUUUUUUGUUAAAUAAAUAUUAUUCUUACUAAACGUUUUUUGUUUAAAUAAAUAAAUUUUGUAUUUGAACUUAUUUACAAUAUCAUGUCACUAACAUUAAUUAUUUAUUAAAGAAAAUAUUUAAUUAAAGAUUUAAAUCUUCUAAAUCCUUGCUUUUAGAGUUAUUAUGUCAUUACCUUAUAAACAAAAAUAUUAAUUUUUUAAAUAUUAUUAUUUAUAUAUUUAAAAUCUAUAAAACAUUAUUAAUAUUUAAACUUAUAAAAAGUUUGAUAUAUCACAAUUUUUUAACAUCAUUAUAUAAUAUAUAGAGUUUAAAAAAAUCUUAAUUUUUUCCGUCAUAUUUUAUGAUUCAAAAUUUUAAAAAUGAACAUAUAUUAACCAAUUGGCAAACAAUGUGUGGGUUCAAUGUCUCGCAUCGACAAAAAUAUUUAGACAAUGAUUUAUAAACAUAUCAUAAAUAAGAUCAACAUUAAUAUAAAUAAAUGAUUUUUUUACGGGACGAGUUUGGCAGGACGUUACUUAAUAACAAUUGUAAGCUAUAAAAUAAAAAUAUAUUAUAAAUAGAUUCAAUUUGCAAAAAAAAAAAUAUACUAACUUAAAAAAGAUAAAUUGUCCCCGCGGUUUACCGUGGGUUAAAAUCUAAUAUAUCUACGUUUGUGAAUAUAAUAAACAAACAAACAAAAAAAUUAUGGAUGAGAUUUGUGAUAUAUUGUUUUUUUUUAACGUAUAUUGUUUUAAAACAAAAAUAUUUGUGCAACUUUCAAAACAUGCUAUUUUAAAAUACAACAGUUUUAAAAACAAUUCACAUAGAUUAAGAUAAAAUUUGGAAAAAAGAUUAAGAUCAGUUAAGAUUGAGUGACAUAAAAUGGACUACGUGUUUUUUUAUUUUGAUUAUAUGUAAGUUAAUUAGCAUUAUUUUAUUAUUGAUACUAAUUUUGUAUCAUUUAUUUAAUUGAUAUUUUAAUUUGUAUCGUUUUGUAAGUGAUGCUAAUAAUAAAUUAAUAAAUACAACGAUUAUCUAUUGAUGUAAAUAUAUAGGUUUGUAUCAACAUCUUAAAAUGAUCCAAAUCAAAAUCAAUAUAUAUUUCUAUCAAUUUAUCAAAUUGAUGCUAAACUAUUUAAUUAAAACAUCAGCUAUUAUAACUGAUUCUAAAUCAUCAAUAUUUGUCUCAUUUAUACAUAAGUGAUUUAAAAUAAUAUCACUUAAUUUUAUGAUACAAUUUAAGUUCUUAGCAUCACUUUCUAUUGAUCUAUAUUUUGUAUCAUUUUUAAAAAUGAUGUUAAUAAAAAUAAGGGAAUACAUCGGUUAUCUUAAUUGAUGUAAAUACAUAUUUUUGUAUCUAUUUUCUGAAGUGAUGCAAACUAAUACAAAUUUGUAUCAAUUUGAUUAAACUGACACUAAACAAACUAAUUAACAAAUCACUUAUUAGAAUUGAUGUUGAAUUAUUAAACUUUUUUUGUAGUGAUGUUUCUCUACAAUCACUUGCAUGUUGUCCUCAAUCUUGUAGACUAUGGAACGGAAUGUUCGUCUCUCCUUCAGUUCCAAGAAUGUUAGCUUGCAGUCAUCAUGCAAAACCAUUUCCGGUGCUACGUAAGCCUGUUAUUGUAUCGAUACACACAACAUCACAUUUUUUUGGAGAAAAAGCUCAAAACAGAAUUGGAUAUUUAAUUUUAUCAUCUCUAUAGAAUUGUUAACAUCACAUGUAUGAGAAGCUAAUAAACGUAGCUUCCACGACAUUUUAUAAAGAUCAUCUAUAUUACAACAAUUUAGACUUCAUUAGGAAACGACCAAGUACCACAUAAAUCGACCAAUGGAUCGAUUGCCAUUGACCAAAACAUUCAACGAUCAAACACAUGAAAUACAUCUCUAGAUCUAACGAGACAAAAGCGUAAUCAAAAGGGAUAUAGUCCCAAACAAAACCAAGUAAGGGAAAAAAGCAAGCUAACUUAAAACUGAGACCGAGAAAAUAGUUUCAGCUAUAACUUAAAACUGAAUAUAGCUGAAUCAAACCGAUAUUGGCGCAUAAAUUUUCUGGUGAAAUGAAGAAGACGAAAAAACGAUGGAGUAUGAAUAUGACUUUGUUUUUCUUAUCCGUUUCUUCUUUUUUAAAAGUUAUUUAUAGGGUAUCCCAAUAAUUUUUGUAUGGAAAUUUGUUUCAUUUGUUUAUUUGUUUCUUUAUAUUUGGUUAUUAUCAUUAAUAUAUGGAUAAGAAUAAUCAAUUAUAAUAAAGUAUUUUUUUUUUGAUUAAAUAAAAGUUUAAGAAAAUAUUUAUCUCAGAUUAUUUCCCACUUUUCUCAUUUACUCAUGUUAAAAAAAAUAUAAGAUAUUGUCCUACAAAGAAUGAAAAUGUCAUUAGUUAAGUGAUAAAUUCAUGGAUAAGAGCAUCUCUAUUUGUGGGUUCUCUAUGAGAUACCCUCAUUAAAGAUAAAUCAAAGAUAAAAAGAAAUUAACUUUUAAAUCAAAAUAGCUUAGAAAAGUUUCUCAUUUGAGAAACUUUGGGAAACCCUCUAGAGACAUUUUCUCUCAUACACUUGUCACUCUAAGAUUGAUUAACAAAUUAUUCUAAAAAUUAAUUACUCUAUGAUUUAUAAUAUCAACUAAAUAGUUUAUAGGUUACUAUUUUUUUUACAAUUAUUAAAAUAAAAUAAUAUAUAUAUAUAUAUAUAUCAAGCUCCAUUAUAAAAAUGUUAAAAUAAAUAUUAAUAUUAUUUUGAUUGAUAUUAAUUGAGGUUAAUAUACAUAUAAAUUGCUAUUUUUGGUUGAUACAAUACUAUAAUAUUAGAGUAAAGAUGAGAUUUUAUUAACUUAAAGAAAUAUUUUUGUUAACAUUUAGUAUUUUGAUAAAUAAUGUGUUAUUUAUUGUCAUUAUUUACAAAAUAUCUAUUUUAAUUAAAAUAUAUUUGAUAAAAUAAUGUGUAAUUUUAGUCAUAUUUUUUUAACAAAAUAUCAAAUAUAAUUAAAAUAUAACUAAGAUGUAAAAUUAUAUAUUAACUUUUUGAGUAUCUCACUAAUGAAGGUAAAAUUUUAUGAUGAGUUUAUCUGAAUCAAAACAAUAAAAAAUAGUAUUAUAGGGAUGAGAUAACCUAUGAAGAUGCUCAAGUUUAGAGAAUGUGUUUAUAACCAAGGAUUUUAAAUGAUGUUUAUUUUUUUAUUUUUUUUUUGGGUAUCAGUAUAUGUUAAGUGUGAAUCAAAAUCUCCAUUACAGCUACCACUAUAUUCUAAAUGGACUUUUAUUAGGCUCGUCUGUUUUUAAACUCGACCGAUCCGAGCGGAUUAGAUGUGGCACAUUUGUAAGAGUGUUGUACGGAAUAGAAUGAUAUUAAUUUGAUGUUUUUAAAUAGAAUGAUAUUAAUCUAUUUGAUGAUUAGAUAUCCAUACUAUAUGUUUUGAGUCUUAAAUCAUGCAUCUCCUUUAGAUAGCCUAAUGUUCUAGAUUAAUAUCAUUCUAUUUCUACGAUUCAGAGAAGCAACACUAAACUCAAGUGGCACCAAAGAUAACACAAGGAGGAAAAUAUGAAAAUGAAAAAUUGAAGAACAAAGAAGAAAAAGAAGAAGAUAUAUAAAAAUAAAGCACUGAAAAAAAAACCCUAAUCGCGAUCAUUAGCUAAGAGUGUAGAGACAUCUUAGCUGUUGAUUAGUUUUAUUAUCAAAGGUCUAUACAAAAUACAUAUCCACAUCAGAAUGUAUAAGUGCAGGAUCAAUGACGUGUCGCUGGUGUUGACCUUACUUGACCCGGUCCAGCUAAGAAUAUUGAGUAAUUGAGAUUCUGUCUGAUUUGACCCCGUUUAGCAGUUUAGUUGAUUCUCCUAAUAUUUGUGUUUGGUUUAAGUUAGUGAAUUGAACCGGAUUGGCUAAUAUAUCAAGCUAAAUUUCCGCCAUUAAUUUAGCGUCACAUGUUUUAUCAAGCUAUUUUUUUUUUUUGGGUAUCAGUAUAUGUUAAGUGUGAAUCAAAAUCUCCAUUACGGCCACCACUAUAUUCUAAAUGGGCUUUUAUUAGGUUCGUUUGCUUUUAAACUCGACCGAUUCGAGCAGAUCAGAUGUGGUCCAUUUGUAAGAGUGUUGUACGGAAUAAUCUAUUUGAUGAUUAGAUAUCCAUACUAUAUGUUUUGAGUCUUAAAUCAUGCAUCUCGUUUAGGUAGCCUAAGUUCUAGAUUAAUAUCAUUCUAUUUCUACAAUUGAGAGAAGCAACACUAAACUCAAGUGGCACCAAACAUAACCCAAGGAGGAAACGAUGGAAAUGAAAAAUUGAAGAACAUAGAAAAAAAAAAAAAGAUCUAAAAAAAUAAAACACUGAAAAAAGAAACCCUAAUCGCGAUCAUUAGCUAAGAGUUUAGAGACAUCUUAGUUGUUGAUUAGUUUUAUUAUCUACGGUCUAUAAAAAGAUACAUAUCCACGUCCGAAUGUAUAAGUGCAAGAUCAAUGACGUGUUAUUGGUGUUGACCUUACUUGACCCGGUUCAGUUAAGAAUAUUGAGUAGUUGGGAUUCUGUCUGAUUUGAUCCCGUUUAACAGUUUAGCUAGUUCCCCUAAUAUUUGUGUUUCGAUUUAAGUUAGUGAAUUGAACCGGAUUGGCUAAUAUAUCAAGCUAAAUUUCCGUCAUUAAUUUCGCUGCAAACGUUUUAUCAAGCUAUUUUUUGUUUUUUUUUACUUAAAUCAAGCUAGACUUUAUUUUGAAUCAAAAUCUAGAAAAUUAAACCACUUGUUCAUUUUUUUUUUUCUUUUUUCUUUUGAAUAUAUUGAGUGGCUCUUGAGUUAUGAGCAACAUAGGUUUCAAGCUCGACCAUUUAUUUACUAUUUUAGCAUUACAUAGAGAGUAGAGAGGGCUCUAUACAAUGAAAAUCAGUACAUGUUAUUGAAAGUGAGAACUCUAAACACUCUCACAUGGAGUAUUCAAAAUCUAAACCAUUUAAGGAGAUGCUUGAUAUAGGACUCCAAACAUAUACGAAUAAAUUAUCAGAUAGAUAACUGAGACAAGGCUUGAAGCCUAGCAACAAUCUGAUUUCAAGUAUUGUACAUGUAAAACUAAUUGAAAACCAUCACAAGGCACACAUAACACAUCAAAGACAUACAAUAAUACCAAGUAGAAUGAAGUUGAAGGUGUUAAAAAGUUUUCAUAACAGUCAGAGGAAACAUAUUCACUCCAGAAACCAAACUUAUUCAAAUGCCCUUACAGGGUUUUGUUUUACUUAGUUGGUGCGGCUUUUGAAAACAUCAAGACCCAUUUCUGUUGGAUCAGUAGCUUGAAGUUCCACUUGAAUUCCAUCUAGUUCUCUCUUGAACCUAUCUUUAGAGCUCGCGUAAAUCAUCUUGUCUCUCACUUUGGCAGUGUCCGGAGACCUUUGGCACAACAACAAACACACAUUGAUGACCAUAAUCUAAACAGAUCAAAAGACAUGAGUGACAAUAUCUUGCUUUUACCAUGCAAUGAAGAAGAUCUUGCUCUUCUGGCAGUUCUCCGCAGUGACAAAGUCGAAAUCGUAAAUGCAAUAUCGGCAAUCAUCAGCUGGAAGACUAGCUGCAAAGUCAUCAUAUGAUUGUUCAGGUUCACCGAGUUUCUCUACAAUCACUUGCUUAUCCUCAAUCUUGUAGACUAUGGUACGGAAUGUUCUUUUCGCCUUCAGUUCCAUAAAUUUCAGCUUGCAAUCAUCAUGCACAGCCAUUCCCGAUGCCGCGUUUGCCUGUUAUCAUAUCAAUACACAUAACAAAACACUGAGAAGAUGCACAUCUCUUCAAAAACACAUUUUCUAAAACAAAGAUCACAACUUAACACAGAAAUUGGAUAAUAUUAUCAUCAUCUCUAACAUUGUUAACAUCACAAGGAAGAGAAGCUAAGUAGCUCCUCACAACUUUGUAGAACGAUUUUGACUUCAAUUUUGACACAUCAAGAGGCAAGAAGCACAACAUAGAUCGAACAAUUGACAAACACUGAUGAAAAAGUCAAAAAUUCGUAGAAUUUAACACUUGAUUUGAACUUGAAGUGAAAAACAGCAGAUUCUUCCUGAUUUCAGAUAAGCUAGCGAAGAAGCAGAACAACAAAGUUACGAGUUCUUUAAUCGGAUCUCUAAUCCGAUCACACACUACAACUACCAAAGAUCGAGUAUCUGAAAUCAUCUCCAGAUCUAUCUAAACGAGCGAGAAUCGUUAUCCAAAAGAGAAGCAAACGGAUUUGAACUCGAAAUCGACUAGCAAGCAAUCGAAAUUUUCGAGAAGAAAGCUUCAAAAUCGAAAAACUUAAAACAGAAACAAGAGAAAAUUGAGCUCACCAUGGCUAAAUCAAACCGAUUUCAAAUAAAAGUUCCUGGUGAAAUGAAGAAGAAGACGGCAAGAAGAUAUUUUCUCCGGUCGGCAAAAAUCAAAUGGAGAAAAUGAAAAUGACCUUCUUUUUUUUCUUCUUCACUGUUUCUUUUUUUGUCAGCGUUAUUUGCAAGCUAUCCGAAUUAUAUGAAUGAAACGAAUUUCAUUUGUUUAUAUGUUUCUAUACAUUUUGGUUUAUUAUAAUAAUAUAUGGAUAAGACUAUUUCCCAAAGUUAAAUUUUUAUUUCUGUUAAUCAUCAUAAUAUAAGAAUUUAUUUGAUUGCCCAACCUAUAUUGAAAAUGUCAUGGAUUAGGUGAUAUAACUUGGUGGAUAAGUUCACAAGUUUAGAAAUAGUGUAAUCAUGAUCUGUGUUUAUUAAAUGAUAUGGUACCACUUCAUGUUGGGGCUAUACAAAUGUGGUCAACACAAGCAAUUUCUUUGGAAACAAACAUAAGAAUGAAUGGUCAAAACGACCAAUCCAAUCAUAAUCAGUGGACCAAAUAAAAAAACUGAAGAUCAAUCUUGUCCUAUAGACAGUUGUUUCAUACAAAUGUGAGAGAAACUUUUAAUCAUCCAUUUCAUCAAUGAUAUACCUAAAAGGGUUCAUCUUCAAUAGACGAUUUGGGGUCCUUACACACCAUUUUAAAACCAAAGACAACAUCGAACACAAGACCGAAACACCGAUAGAAUGAAGUUGUUUAUAGGUUCAUAACUUCACAACACAAUGUAAAAACAUAAUCAAGUACCAGUACCAUCACUCAAAAAUAACAGAAUAAGAGAAUAGAUCUUUCAAGGGGAUGAUGAUAAUAAACUUUGGUUUUUACUUUUUAGUUGGCACGGCUCCUGAAAACAUCGAGAUCCAUCUCUGUUGGAUCAGUUGCCUGUAGCUCUACUUGAAUCCCAUCUAGUUCCCUCUUGAACCUGUCCUUGGAGCUCGCGUAGAUCAUCUUGCUUCUCACCUUAGCAAUAUCCGGACACCUUAGCAAAACAACGAAGUUGCAUCAUAUAAGUACGUUGAAAACCUUUGGAAGAUAACAAUAAAACGAGACACAGAUUUAAUGGCAGAUUAUGUGACUAGCUACCACGCGAUGAAGAAGAUCUUGCUCUUCUGGCAAUUCUCAGCAGUUACAAAGUCAAAAUCGUAAAUGGCGUAACGGCAUUCAUCAGCUGGAAGACAUGCUGCAAACUCCUCGUAAGUUUGGAUCGGUUGACCAACUUUCUCAACAACAACUUGCUUCUGCUUCUCCUCAAUCUUGUAAACUAUGAAACGGUGUGUCCUUUUAGCCUUCAGUUCCAGAAAUCUCAGCUUGCAAUCAUCAUGCACAGCCAUUCCAGAUGCCGCGUUCGCCUGUUAAACCAAACAACACUCAUAUUCAAAUCUUUUCACAUAACACAAUCCAAAAACCUCUAUUGUUCUCAAACCUCUAGAGUGAUUAUCAAUUACAUGAAACUGAUGAAUCAAACAUCAAGGAUAAUGGAUCAAACAACCAAAUGUUAUCGAAAUUGAUAUAUAACUUUGAAAUUUUUUGCAAUAACAGGAAGCCGUAAAUACUCUUCUGAUUUCAAAUUUUAGAUAGAGGAAUCGAAAGAGCCACAGUGAACUCAACAGAGAAGCUCUCUCGCACAGUUUUGAUUCUAAAUCAGUCACAAAACGAUCACAUAAACACCAAAUCUUAGAGAUCUAAAACCAAAAUCUGUAUACAGAUCUAGCGAAACAACAAAAUGAGCCAGAAUCGCGUAAACAGAAGAUUUGUAUAUAAGACGAAACCAAAAUCGAGAGAAGCACACUACAGAUCGAGAUAACAAGUGGAAAAUUGAGCUUACCAUGGCUAGAGAAACACUAAUAUCAGAGCAAAUUCGUGGUUAAACGAGAGAGGAGAAGAUAUUUCUUCGGGCGGCUACAAUCGACGGAGAAUACGGUCACCUUUUUUUCUUUUUUCUUCUCAAUUUCUUUUCUCUUUCUUUCUUCAACUUUAUUCGGGAGUCCACCAUAUUAUAGAGACGAAAAAAAACUAUUAUUAUUUGGUAUGUAUUUCAAAUUUUCAAUAAUAUUGUUGAAUUAUGAAUUCAAUACUAUAAUUAAUUUUAUGUUUUUGAUUCAUUAUUUUGGUAGGUGUUUCAAUAAUAACACUGAUUUUUCUUGUUAUAUAAAUAAACUGAAUUUUUAAUUUAUAUUUUUAAACUAUCUAUAAAAUUAGUAAGUAAUAACAUUUUUGAAUUUCGUCGUACCAUUGAUUCGAUAAAAAGUUUGUUGGUUUGAGAACUUGAUUCAACUUUUAAGAAGUAAAAAAUAUUGAUGUGUAACACCACAACAACUACAAAAAAUAUACUUCAUUUUCACAAUAAGUUCGGCGUCUCCAAAAAAAAGAUAACUAAGAUUUAUGAAAAACGAUGAUAGGAAAAAAAUUCAAAUACUGAUUAAAUAAAUGGUAAAACACAUAUCUAUUUUAUAAUAUAUUUUUAACAUCACAAGUUCAAAAAGCAAAUCACUCAAAAAUGUACAAAAUUAAAAUAUAAAAUUAUUGUUAAUUUUUUUUGGGUCAAAAGGUAGUAAUUAUUGUUAUUUUGUUCUAAAUCAUAAUCUACUGCAUAAUUAUGCAUUGCAGACUUUGCAGUUGACCAUAAACUACAUUAUAAAAUAGUUCGCAAGGUUUUGGGUUCUUCUUUAAUUGACCGUUUUCAAAAAUAUUGUUGUCUAAACGAUUUAAGAAGAUGGCCACUCUUCAUAAUUUAUUAACAUAUAGGAGUAUCUUGAAUGAACUUGGUACCUCAUGUAUCGGUUUCAAAUUUUUAAUAUUCUAGUUGGUAUGUCCUUAAUGUAACAAAGAAAAAGGGAAAUAAUACUAUUCUUUUCCUACAUAGAAAAAGAAAUGCCACUAAGAUUGGCGUCGAAUAUAUUUAUUAGCCACGAUCUUUUGUUUAACGCAGCGGCAACGGGAGAAAAGAAGAAAAUCAAUUAUGCAGAAAGAAGAAAAUGAGAAAAACUGUCACAGCCGAUGAACAUCGAUGAAGAUUAAGGUGCCGCUGUUAAAUUUGAGCGACUCAUUUGAUGCUGUUGCGACUCAUCGUCCGUCAUCAGCGAAUCAUCUAAAUCUGUUAUUUUCAAGUUUUGGUGUCGUUUUAAAUUGUUAUUUUUCAUAAUACGUCGUUUUACUCAGACGUUACCGUUGCUACCGCUGCCGCAGCGUGAACUAAAAGAACAUGCUAAUUAUCUUUUGAAAUAUCGAAACUAAAUGAAAGGUACAUGAAUCAAUGGGGCUCUUUUAGCUCCAAUUUUCCGCUGAAACUUUGAUUAUAGCGGUGAUGGGAACCAGCUGAGUGACGCUGGUUACAACCAAUCGUUUAUAGACACGUGGAGAGUUAGGAGUUUGCUUUGUGCGACAGGUUUCCUACCGGCAUGUGACUCUAGAGCCUGGCCGCAUAUAACAUUGAAGCCCGUUAACUCAAUAGGCCCAAUAAUGUUAUUUUAAGAAAAGAGGCCCAGAAUCAGCUCAAGAGUACAGACAGUGUCAAAGAUUUUUCUACAAACUAGACUAGAGUCUAGUCACUAGACUACAAAUUGCAUACAGCUUUAGAGUUUGUAACAUGGAACUCAUGAUCUUAGAUCAAUUUUGUAGACAAAUCUACAUGAUGACAACAGUGAGUGUGAGAUGCCUGAAUUACCCGCGGUCCUCGGCUUUAUUACUGUUAAUACCCGCUCUCACUUCCUCUGCGUUCUUGGCUACUUCAACAAAUAUUAGUCUACCAUCUACAAUCUGACACAAACAAAAUAACCCAAUACAACUUCAAUACAUUUCUAAAGAAGCAAAACAACGUUAUUAGUCACAAUGAGAGGAACAAAAUCGAUAUAGCUUCAGACCCUAAUUGGCAUUUCUACAAUGAAUUUAGAGCCCUAUGGAACUUAUGGAUAUGUUAAUGAUUCAUUACAGAACAAAUUUCUUAAGCUAAUCUCUUAUUAGCGUACAUUAAACAAGAAAGCUAGAAACCUAUUGAAGUGUUGUUAAUGGAGAAAUUCAAUUGUAUUUUUUUACUCACCUUCCCAUCUAAGCUUUUCAAUGCCUUUCGUGCAUCAUCUUCAGAAUCGAAGGUGAUAAAGCCGAAUCCUUUAGGUCUCUGUGUUUCUGAAUCUCUAAUAAGCCGAGCUAAACAACCCCACAAACACAAAUUUAGUUCAUAACCGAGCCUUAAACAAAUUCAAUUUCAGGUUUUUACCUUCUUUGAUUUGACCAAAAGGAGAGAACAAUUGCCUCAGAGAUUGAUCUGUGGUAUAAGCAGAUAACCCUGCAAGAGAACAAUUUCAGAAACCAGAGCAAGUAAAAAGAGCAAGAGACUAAAAUCAGAAAGAAGAAACCAUUCUCGUACUGCUUACGAAGAGUUGAGCUGAGAUUCUCUUAGCCAUCUUUAACAGUAAUCCAAACGGAUUUCGGAAAUGACUCAAAAAUAAAGCUUUUCUAGGUUAAAUGCUCGAGCGGACGACGCCGUUUUCAGAAGAAACACAGAUACCCAACGAAACGACGACGUUUUUAAAUGCUGCGAGAGGCUAAUUCAACAACCGAUUCAUUUGCAGUGAAGAAGAGAUAAUUUAGCAGACGUUUCAGCAAAAGAUUUUACUUGAUAGAUUUGAUUUAAGAAAGAAAUCGGAUCCGAUUUGAUUAACAUCGCAACAAGAAAACGAAACAGAAAUCGAUCAAAGAGUCAACAACAACCAUCAAAUCUAAAAAACCCUAAUUUUACAAACAUCGAUUUCAACAAGAUCCACAAUUCAAGAGCUAGUAAACUUAGUCACCGCCUUAGUUCCUUCAGAAACAGCAUGUUUCGCAAGCUCACCAGGAAGAACAAGUCUAACAGCAGUCUGAAUCUCCCGAGAAGUAAUCGUCGGCUUCUUAUUAUACCUCGCGAGCUUCGACGAUUCCGAUGCCAAUUUCUCAAAGAUGUCGUUGAUGAAACUGUUCAUAAUCCCCAUAGCUUUGCUUGAAAUACCAAUAUCUGGAUGAACUUGUUUCAGAACCUUGAAGAUGUAGAUCUUGUACGUCUCAACACUCUUCUUCUUCAUCUUCUUCUUCUUAUCGCCGCCGGCACCGGCUUCCUUCGGGAGUUUCUUGCCGGCUUUUGGUUUCUUCUCUGCAGGAGCUUUCUCGGCUUUUGAUUUCUCCUCUACUGGUUUCUUCUCUGCCGGCUUCUUCUCUGCCUUUGGUGCCAUUUUCUUCACACGAAAAAAGUUUCAAAG
rnacentral:lncRNA from 1 species